CAGCCGCCGCGGUAAUACGAAGGGUGCAAGCGUUACUCGGAAUUACUGGGCGUAAAGCGUGCGUAGGUGGUGGUUUAAGUCCGUUGUGAAAGCCCUGGGCUCAACCUGGGAAUUGCAGUGGAUACUGGGUCACUAGAGUGUGGUAGAGGAUAGUGGAAUUUCCGGUGUAGCAGUGAAAUGCGUAGAGAUCGGAAGGAACAUCUGUGGCGAAGGCGACUAUCUGGGCCAACACUGACACUGAGGCACGAAAGCGUGGGGAGCAAACAGGAUUAGAACCCCAGUAGUCCCUGUCUCUUAUACA
rnacentral:rRNA from 1 species